rnacentral:pre_miRNA from 1 species
AUCACCUGGGGAUCUUGUUACAAUGCAGAUUCUGAUCCCAUAGGUCUGGAGAGGAGCCUUAGAAUCUGCAUUUCUAACAAGCUACCAGGUGAUGUUGA